GGUCAAGUGAAGAAGCGCAUACGGUGGAUGCCUUGGCAGUCAGAGGCGAUGAAAGACGUGGUAGCCUGCGAAAAGCUUCGGGGAGUCGGCAAACAGACUUUGAUCCGGAGAUCUCUGAAUGGGGGAACCCACCUAGGAUAACCUAGGUAUCUUGUACUGAAUCCAUAGGUGCAAGAGGCGAACCAGGGGAACUGAAACAUCUAAGUACCCUGAGGAAAAGAAAUCAACCGAGAUUCCCUUAGUAGUGGCGAGCGAACGGGGAUUAGCCCUUAAGCUUCUUUGAUCUUAGUAGAAGGCUCUGGAAAGUGCCGCCAUAGUGGGUGAUAGCCCCGUAUACGAAAAGAUCCUUGAAGUGAAAUCGAGUAGGACGGCGCACGUGAAACGUUGUCUGAACAUGGGGGGACCAUCCUCCAAGGCUAAAUACUACUGACUGACCGAUAGUGAACCAGUACCGUGAGGGAAAGGCGAAAAGAACCCCGGAGAGGGGAGUGAAAUAGAACCUGAAACCGUAUGCGUACAAGCAGUGGGAGCCUACUUUGUUAGGUGACUGCGUACCUUUUGUAUAAUGGGUCAGCGACUUAUUUUCAGUGGCGAGCUUAACCGAAUAGGGGAGGCGUAGCGAAAGCGAGUCUUAAUAGGGCGUCUAGUCGCUGGGAAUAGACCCGAAACCGGGCGAUCUAUCCAUGGGCAGGUUGAAGGUUAGGUAACACUGACUGGAGGACCGAACCGACUACCGUUGAAAAGUUAGCGGAUGACCUGUGGAUCGGAGUGAAAGGCUAAUCAAGCUCGGAGAUAGCUGGUUCUCCUCGAAAGCUAUUUAGGUAGCGCCUCGUGUAUCACUGCUGGGGGUAGAGCACUGUUUCGGCUAGGGGGUCAUCCCGACUUACCAAACCGAUGCAAACUCCGAAUACCAGCAAGUGUCAGCACGGGAGACACACGGCGGGUGCUAACGUCCGUCGUGAAAAGGGAAACAACCCAGACCGUCAGCUAAGGUCCCAAAGUCAUGGUUAAGUGGGAAACGAUGUGGGAAGGCUUAGACAGCUAGGAGGUUGGCUUAGAAGCAGCCAUCCUUUAAAGAAAGCGUAAUAGCUCACUAGUCGAGUCGGCCUGCGCGGAAGAUGUAACGGGGCUCAAACCAUGCACCGAAGCUACGGGUUCAACGUAAGUUGAGCGGUAGAGGAGCGUUCUGUAAGCCUGUGAAGGUGAGUUGAGAAGCUUGCUGGAGGUAUCAGAAGUGCGAAUGCUGACAUGAGUAACGACAAUGCGAGUGAAAAACUCGCACGCCGAAAGACCAAGGGUUCCUGCGCAACGUUAAUCGACGCAGGGUGAGUCGGUCCCUAAGGCGAGGCUGAAAAGCGUAGUCGAUGGGAAACGGGUUAAUAUUCCCGUACUUCUGGUUACUGCGAUGGGGGGACGGAGAAGGCUAGGCCAGCUUGGCGUUGGUUGUCCAAGUUUAAGGCGGUAGACAGGGAUCUUAGGUAAAUCCGGGAUCUCAAUGUCGAGAGCUGAUGACGAGCUUUCUUUUAGAAAGCGAAGUGGUUGAUGCCAUGCUUCCAGGAAAAGCCUCUAAGCUUCAGGUAAUCAGGAACCGUACCCCAAACCGACACAGGUGGUCGGGUAGAGAAUACCAAGGCGCUUGAGAGAACUCGGGUGAAGGAACUAGGCAAAAUGGCACCGUAACUUCGGGAGAAGGUGCGCCGGUGAGGGUGAAGUAUUUACUACGUAAGCCCAUGCCGGUCGAAGAUACCAGGCCGCUGCGACUGUUUAUUAAAAACACAGCACUCUGCAAACACGAAAGUGGACGUAUAGGGUGUGACGCCUGCCCGGUGCCGGAAGGUUAAUUGAUGGGGUUAGCGCAAGCGAAGCUCUUGAUCGAAGCCCCGGUAAACGGCGGCCGUAACUAUAACGGUCCUAAGGUAGCGAAAUUCCUUGUCGGGUAAGUUCCGACCUGCACGAAUGGCGUAACGAUGGCGGCGCUGUCUCCACCCGAGACUCAGUGAAAUUGAAAUCGCUGUGAAGAUGCAGUGUAUCCGCGGCUAGACGGAAAGACCCCGUGAACCUUUACUAUAGCUUUGCACUGGACUUUGAAUUUGCUUGUGUAGGAUAGGUGGGAGGCUUUGAAGCGUGGACGCCAGUUCGCGUGGAGCCAACCUUGAAAUACCACCCUGGCAACUUUGAGGUUCUAACUCUGGUCCGUUAUCCGGAUCGAGGACAGUGUAUGGUGGGUAGUUUGACUGGGGCGGUCUCCUCCUAAAGAGUAACGGAGGAGUACGAAGGUGCGCUCAGACCGGUCGGAAAUCGGUCGUAGAGUAUAAAGGCAAAAGCGCGCUUGACUGCGAGACAGACACGUCGAGCAGGUACGAAAGUAGGUCUUAGUGAUCCGGUGGUUCUGUAUGGAAGGGCCAUCGCUCAACGGAUAAAAGGUACUCCGGGGAUAACAGGCUGAUACCGCCCAAGAGUUCAUAUCGACGGCGGUGUUUGGCACCUCGAUGUCGGCUCAUCACAUCCUGGGGCUGAAGCCGGUCCCAAGGGUAUGGCUGUUCGCCAUUUAAAGUGGUACGCGAGCUGGGUUUAGAACGUCGUGAGACAGUUCGGUCCCUAUCUGCCGUGGACGUUUGAGAUUUGAGAGGGGCUGCUCCUAGUACGAGAGGACCGGAGUGGACGAACCUCUGGUGUUCCGGUUGUCACGCCAGUGGCAUUGCCGGGUAGCUACGUUCGGAAGAGAUAACCGCUGAAAGCAUCUAAGCGGGAAACUUGCCUCAAGAUGAGAUCUCACUGGAGCCUUGAGCUCCCUGAAGGGCCGUCGAAGACUACGACGUUGAUAGGUUGGGUGUGUAAGCGCUGUGAGGCGUUGAGCUAACCAAUACUAAUUGCCCGUGAGGCUUGACCAU
rnacentral:rRNA from 1 species